rnacentral:tRNA from 1 species
GGAGAGGUGGCUCAGAGGUUAAGAGCAGUGGUUGCUCUUCCAGAGGGCCUGAGUUCAAUUCCCAGCACCUUCA